rnacentral:ncRNA from 1 species
UGUUUAGAAUUAUUUAAUUCUGGUAAGGAAAGAGUAAAAAGUAUUGUUACAUAAAGUAUUUUUAUGUUUUAGUGUCUGAAUCUGUAAAGUUUGUUGUUUAGUAACUAGAUCUUAUUGUUUGAGGUAACUCAGAUUAGGGUACUUUUUAUGAGUGGAGAAUACUCAGUGCCAGCAUCCGCGGUUAUUCUGUUUAGCUUAUUUUCUUUUUUUUAGGCAAAAUAAUUCAUUAAUAAUUCGAAGAAUUAGGUGGAAUUUUUUCUUUUUAUAAAUUAUUUAUUGAAUGGUUGAAAGGUUAUUGAUAGAAAAGGAUUAGAGACCCUUGUAUAAAAUCUUGGAUUUUGUUACUUUAGUUGAAACUAAAAGAAUUUGGCAGCUAACGAGAUUCGUCCGGGGGAGUGUGUUCAUUAAGAGAUAAUCCGCUUAAUAGUUUACUUUAUUUAUUAGUUAGUGUAUAUCCGGUUUAAAAAUUUAUGAUUAGUGUCACUAGGUGUAUAUUAAUUAAUUUAAUCCAGGUCGAUGUGCUGCUUAUAAUAAAGUUUGUAAUGCACUACAGUGUUAAAAGGAUUUUUCUGUAAUGAUAGUUGAUAUAAUUUAGGACUCGGAAGUAGAAAGAAAUUAGAAUGUUAUUUCGAAGAGGAUUUAGUUAGGGUACAUACCGCCCCCCUGCUCAUGGCAUAAAGCUAUGAUAAGUCGUAACAUGGUAGCAUUGGGGGAACCGGAUGCUAGUUAAUUCAAAGUUUAUUUUAUGAGUUA